AGAGUUUGAUCCUGGCUCAGGACGAACGCUGGCGGCGUGCUUAACACAUGCAAGUCGAACGGGGAUUUUUAUUUCGGUAGAAAUUCUAGUGGCAAACGGGUGAGUAACGCGUAGACAACCUGCCUUUCCGAUGGGGACAACAGUUCGAAAGGACUGCUAAUACCGAAUGACGUGUCUCCUCCGCAUGGAAGAGAUACCAAAGACGGCCUCUAUUUAUAAGCUGUCGCGGAAAGAUGGGUCUGCGUCUGAUUAGCUUGUUGGAGGGGUAACGGCCCACCAAGGCGACGAUCAGUAGCCGGUCUGAGAGGAUGAACGGCCACAUUGGGACUGAGAAACGGCCCAAACUCCUACGGGAGGCAGCAGUGGGGAAUCUUCCGCAAUGGACGAAAGUCUGACGGAGCAACGCCGCGUGAGUGAAGAAGGUCUUCGGAUCGUAAAGCUCUGUUGUACGGGACGAAUGUUGAAGGCGUGAAUAAUGCCGUUAAAUGACGGUACUGUACGAGGAAGCCACGGCUAACUACGUGCCAGCAGCCGCGGUAAUACGUAGGUGGCGAGCGUUGUCCGGAAUUAUUGGGCGUAAAGGGAGCGCAGGUGGGAAGGUAAGUCUGUUUUAAAAGCGUCGGGCUCAACCCGAUGAGGGAACAGAAACUAUUUUUCUUGAGUGCAGGANANGAAAGCGGAAUUNCUAGUGUANCGGNGAAAUGCGUAGAUAUUAGGAGGAACACCAGNGGCGAANGCGGCUUUCUGGACUGNAACUGGCACUGANGGCUCGAAAGCCAGGGGAGCCGAACGGGAUUANAUACCCCGGNAGUCCUGGCCGNAAACGAUGGAUACUAG
rnacentral:rRNA from 1 species